rnacentral:rRNA from 1 species
AGAGUUUGAUUCUGGCUCAGGAUGAACGCUGGCGGCAUGCCUAAUACAUGCAAGUCGAACGAGAGGAAGGAAAGCUUGCUUUUCUGAAUCUAGUGGCGAACGGGUGAGUAACACGUAGGUAACCUGCCCAUGUGCCCGGGAUAACUUCUGGAAACGGAUGCUAAAACCGGAUAGGUAGCAGACAAGCAUUUGACUGCUAUUAAAGUGGCUAUGGCCAUGAACAUGGAUGGACCUGCGGUGCAUUAGCUAGUUGGUGAGGUAACGGCCUACCAAGGCGACGAUGCAUAGCCGGCCUGAGAGGGCGGACGGCCACAUUGGGACUGAGACACGGCCCAAACUCCUACGGGAGGCAGCAGUAGGGAAUUUUCGUCAAUGGGGGGAACCCUGAACGAGCAAUGCCGCGUGAGUGAGGAAGGUCUUCGGAUCGUAAAGCUCUGUUGUAAGAGAAAAACGGCACUCAUAGGGAAUGAUGAGUGAGUGAUGGUAUCUUACCAGAAAGUCACGGCUAACUACGUGCCAGCAGCCGCGGUAAUACGUAGGUGGCGAGCGUUAUCCGGAAUGAUUGGGCGUAAAGGGUGCGUAGGUGGCAGAUCAAGUCUGGAGUAAAAGGUAUGGGCUCAACCCGUACUGGCUCUGGAAACUGAUCAGCUGGAGAACAGAAGAGGACGGCGGAACUCCAUGUGUAGCGGUG